GGCCCGCACCGAUGAUAAAAAGACGCUCUAGCAGCCUCCGAGAACAACAUGCUAGUAAUCCGCCAACUAGGGAGUUGUUGGUUCCAUCCCGCCGUCUGUCACACCAAAAUUUUCGGUAUUUGUUCUGGCCAAAGCUGGAGUCAGUGACGAUAAGGCGGUAACCAAGUCGGAGAUUAAGAAAUAAGGACACUCCUUUUCCCUCAGGACCCAGGCUGGCAGGCCCCUUAUCAAAUGUGCUGGAACGAGACUACAAGUAUUCAGGCAAACUGGACCCUUUUCGGACUCAUCACUAACUCGCGGAUGCUGGCCAUUAGUGAACAAUUCAAAAAUCAGGUGUGGGAAAGGCUCAAUCCCCACCGACUUUGGCACUGAGGCGGAAGCCCAAAGUUGCACCAUUGUAGCAGCACACUUAUUUUCCAACGAGCUAGCAUGCGGCUCAGCAGUUUGUCGCCCAAAGGAUUGAGCAGUUGGCCGUACUCUAAGCUCGUUCGUGUCGUUUGCUUGCAAGCCUCUUCGCGAAGAAUACUCGUAAGUGUCAAUUCAACUCCUUUGCAACCGGACGAACUGGGUUAGUUAAUGUGGGACGUCUAAGUGGUUGUAUUAGCAUGCAGGCAGCUGAGGCAUAUAUGUGCGGUGCGCUAGUCCGUGAUAGGCAGCCUAGGGCCAA
rnacentral:sRNA from 2 species